rnacentral:rRNA from 1 species
UGGGGAAUAUUGCACAAUGGGCGCAAGCCUGAUGCAGCCAUGCCGCGUGUGUGAAGAAGGCCUUAGGGUUGUAAAGCACUUUCAGCGAGGAGGAAAGGGAGUCAGUUAAUACCUGUCUCCUGUGACGUUACUCGCAGAAGAAGCACCGGCUAACUCCGUGCCAGCAGCCGCGGUAAUACGGAGGGUGCAAGCGUUAAUCGGAAUUACUGGGCGUAAAGCGUGCGUAGGCGGCUUGUUAAGUUGGAUGUGAAAGCCCCGGGCUCAACCUGGGAACUGCACCCAAAACUGGCAAGCUAGAGUGCGGAAGAGGAGUGUGGAAUUUCCUGUGUAGCGGUGAAAUGCGUAGAUAUAGGAAGGAACACCAGUGGCGAAGGCGACACUCUGGUCUGACACUGACGCUGAGGUACGAAAGCGUGGGGAGCAAACAGGAUUAGAUACCCCCGUAGUCC